rnacentral:tRNA from 1 species
GGAACUGUAGCUCAUUUGGGUAGAGCACACGACUCAUAAUCGUGCGGUAGCAGGUUCAAAUCCUGCCAGUACCA